AAAUUUCCAAAUAUAUAACAUUAUAUAUUCAACGUAAGGAUAUAUGAUAUUAUAACGUGAGUUAAGACAUCCGGUCAAUGGCGAAGCUUUGAAACAUGUAGUAGAUCAAGUCGAUUUUUCAUCGCGGAAGUUCCGAAUUUCGAUUGAGAUUAUCAACUGAUGGAUUCUAUCCUUUUGGAAAUUCAAGUACGUCUUAUUUUCAUGCUGGCCAAUGAUUGUGACUCUACAAAACUUUUCACAAUGAUGAUGAUAUUAUACCUGCGUUUAUGUUCUUGACAUUAUUGAUUACUGAUUCAAAAAGUCCAAAUCUGGACCCGACAUGUUCUUUUUUGCAAAUUUAUAAAAAAAUAUUAAACUCGACGGCCAAAUUGGGUUUGGUUCUAUAUUUUUUAAUAUUCUCGGAUUUUGACCUAAUCCCAACCUGAUUUUAAAAUUCUAGUUAAAUCAAGACAAACCCUCCCAUAUAUGUUCAUUCCUAUCUUUCAAUAGUAUUAUUAGAGCUGCCGCCCAUUUUUUUCUUCCAUUCAAGCCGUAUUUUUAGAAGAAAAAUAAAAUAAUAUCGAAAAAUGUAUUAUCAUCAUCAUCAUCAAAGACUACUGGGACCGAGACCCAGUCAACCUUGACAACCUCCGUAAGGUGAGCCGAAACCCAGUCAACAACCAACCGUAUCGGUAAGGAAUAAGACUUGAAAGAAAAUCAGGCCAAAGAGAGCUAUGUCGUCGUCCUUCUUGCGAUUAAGUACGUAAAUGACAAAAAAUUUAGUAAAUCGAAAGACAAAAAUUCAGUAAAUCGCAGAUAACAAAAGAAGAAUCGCAAAUUGCAAAAGAAAGAGAGAAAGAAAAUCGUAAAUCGUUGUAUUAUAUAAUCGCAAACCAGAUUCACAGUCGCCAAGAACAAUCGACGGAAAUUCCAGUUGCAAACAAGAACCGAUCGCAAAUCGCAACGCCAAGACGAGAUGCCCAAAUCGCGACAAUGAAGAAAAUCCAAACCACAAAGUCGCCGAAAUCGGAAAAGAAUGGAUUAAGGAAACACACUGUCAGAUCGAUCGUGGAAGCACACUGCCGAUCACUGGGUGGUCAAGAAGAAGAGCCAAGAAAACAAAAUCGGUUGUCAAAAUAAAAACAAAUUAAAUUACGUUUUUACCCAACUGAUACCAUCUUAGAAAUUGUUGGUGCCGAGCAGGCCCGUCGAGCGGACCUCGGGCCGAACAGACCAUGGGUCCGCCGUCUGGGCCAAAGAAGGCCCAUGGGCGAAUUUUAUAAAUGUCUCCCGUGUUCUAACAAGGGAAGGGGUUGGAAAAUAGAGAGAAUAUACUAUCUUGUGAGAGAGAGGGUUGUGUGUGUGAGCAACCGAUUUGUAAGCCCACACACCAUCAGAAACUAAUCACACUUCAUUAACUAUAACGCGAUCUCCACCCCAAGUCCACGACCAAAGAAUCACCAGAUGAAUCGCCGGUCGGAGAGGGAUUUGGGGAAGAAAUCAAAACAAAAAACGAACGAUUUAAAAAAGUAUUAACUUUGAUUGAUUUAAAAUGUAAAAUUAUACAAAGUAUUUAUAUUGUUCGAACUAUUAUUUAUUACAUCCAGAAAUAUCUAUUAAUACAACUAAGUCCUCCAAAGCUUUAGUUGUAUUUUUAAUUUUCUUCCUGGGCCUGGACGAUUGAUCCAUUAAUCAUUAACCUGUUAUACAAGUCCAUUAAUCCAUAAUCAACAUAAUAGAUUAUAUUAUCAGUUUACUUAAUAAACUGUUAAAAUUUAAAACAGUACUUAGUAGUACUUAAUUAUAUCUAAUAUUAACAACCAAUUUUACUAAUGAAAUCAUUAAACUUCAAUCUAAGAAAAUACUAAUUGUUUAACCACACUACUAACUACAGUUAACAAUUAUGAUUACAAUGAUUUAUUAAACUCUCACACAAACUACAUCCUCCAUGCUGGAUGAUGUACUACAAAUGUCUGACAAAUCUUACUUACUGCUAAUAAUAUGGUGGAUGCUCCAUCAAACACUUAAAUCAUAUGAACACCCUAAUUUGCUAAAUUUAUUCAGUUACAAGUAUUUUUUUACACCCAAUACAGGAUUCCUACAGAACAGUUUAUAUGGAAUGAUGUAUUGUGAAGUUAUAACUUUAACUGUAAUGUCAAAAUUGAUGAAUGUUUUAACAGAAAUGUUGAAAAUCAUUUCAGAAAUUUUAACAAAACCCAACAAUCUUCCUACAUUCCACUAUAAGUUGGAACAAAGAUUGAAGAAUUUGAGCAUACAGCAAGAAAAAAUUGACGAUUGUCCCAAUCAUUGCAUUUUGUAGUACAAAGAGAAUCUGAAUUUAACUCAAUGUCAACUAUGUAAUCAUCUGAGAUCAAACCAAAAACUUCGAAAAAUCGGCAUAUUGCUCACAAACAGUUGCAUUACUUUCCAUUAAUACCACACUUGAAACGCAUGUAUACUUGUUCUUCGAUUUCCAAAUAUAUAACAUUAUAUAUUCAAUGUAAGGAUAUAUGAUAUUAUAACGUGAGUUAAGACAUCCGGUCAAUGGUGAAGCUUGGAAACAUGUAGUAGAUCGAGUCUAUCUCAAUUUUUCAUUGCGGAAGUUCCGAAUUUCGAUUGAGAUUAUCAACUGAUGGAUUCUAUCCUUUUGGAAAUUCAAGUACGUCUUAUUUUCAUGCUGGCCAAUGAUUGUGACUCUACAAAACUUUUCACAAUGAUGAUGAUAUUAUACCUGCGUUUAUGUUCUU
rnacentral:lncRNA from 1 species